rnacentral:tRNA from 2 species
GGGCGGUUAGCUCAGCGGUAGAGCGCCUGCCUUACAAGCAGGACGUCACUGGUUCGAAUCCAGUACCGCCCA